rnacentral:rRNA from 1 species
AUUGAACGCUGGCGGCAGGCUUAACACAUGCAAGUCGAGCGGGGUGAUGGUGCUUGCACUAUCACUUAGCGGCGGACGGGUGAGUAAUGCUUAGGAAUCUGCCUAUUAGUGGGGGACAACAUCUCGAAAGGGAUGCUAAUACCGCAUACGUCCUACGGGAGAAAGCAGGGGAUCACUUGUGACCUUGCGCUAAUAGAUGAGCCUAAGUCGGAUUAGCUAGUUGGUGGGGUAAAGGCCUACCAAGGCGACGAUCUGUAGCGGGUCUGAGAGGAUGAUCCGCCACACUGGGACUGAGACACGGCCCAGACUCCUACGGGAGGCAGCAGUGGGGAAUAUUGGAAAAUGGGGGGAACCCUGAUCCAGCCAUGCGGCGUGUGUGAAGAAGGCCUUAUGGUUGUAAAGCACUUUAAGCGAGGAGGAGGCUCUUUUGGUUAAUACCCAAGAUGAGUGGACGUUACUCGCAGAAUAAGCACCGGCUAACUCUGUGCCAGCAGCCGCCGUAA